ACUGUCCUGGCUUGAGGUGAUGCUGAAUACACAAGGACAAUGAGAGAUCAUCUCUAACAGGAGCGGACGGUUGUAACUGGCCUCCACAUUAUAGCUGGUCACAAACCGGAUCUUCAAGAAACUCGUGGAAGCUGAAAACUCCAGUUCCCCAAGCAGUUCCGUGGGAGGAGAGGAAUGAAGCAGAACGGAUACAGCACUCGUGGUGGGUGCCGAUAAACCCUUCCCGAGCUGGCUGCCAUGGUCUGAAAAGGCAACAGCUGCCUCAAAUAUCUAUCUUCGAGCCGCAGCCUUGUGCUCAGCCCAAAACUUCGUGCCACCACCGCCAGCAAGGUACAGAGCCUGGCGCUUCCCCAAACCUGCUUUGAGCAGUGACCUCUGCUGGCUCCAAAGACCCCAUCUUCAUCUACCUCCUGACUAACUCUGCUGCAGCCCUAAGAGUUUUGCAAGAGCAGAAAGGUUUGUCCAAAGCUGAUAUGCCAGAUGCAAAUCUCUACCAUGAGUCUGCAAUAUUCUGAUGUGAGAACAGCCGCUUACAACACAAGAGCCUGGCAAACCACAUUCCAGAAAGGUGGUGAUGGGAGUGGUGGGAGCUCAGCUGCAAUAAACAGGGAAAGCCCUGCAGCUACGAAAUGCCUGCCUGAAUGUGCUCCAAAAGCACUGCAACCUGCCACCGUGCAGCCCCUGUGAAAAGGGGUCAGCACUGCACACGGCAAGAAGCACCUCCACAGCUGAGGGUGCCUCUGGGGCCAUCUCAUGUGGAUUCAUGUGCACCCAACCCACUGAAAGCACCAGGCCCUCCCCCCAGGAUCCUGCACAUGGCUGGUUCCAGUAGCUGGGAGGGAGGCACAUAGGCCACAGACUGUACAACUUGCCUGUGACUGAGCAGGUACCAGGAAACUCAUCAGCAAGAGAACAGUACUUCCUCAGCUGCAGCUGGACGCAUCUGCAGGGGCACUUGCCUUGCCCUUGGAGCCAUACGUGUAUCUCAGUAGGUGGGAAGAUGGCUGCUGGAGGCCUUAAAACACCAAGCACAGCACACACAGUACAGCCUCUGUUCAAAGCAAGCAACAACAGAAUCGAAACCACUUCAUUUCAAGGGCACAUUCAGGCCCCGAGCUGCCACUGGCAGUGAGACAAUUCUCCAAGUGGCAAAGUGCUCCUGUUGAGGGAGCAAGUCCUGCCCAGCUCCCUCAAGAUACAGCAGUGUGCAAGAGCUGCAAGGACAAGGGCCAUUGCAUUUGUCCACCCUCAGACUGCAUUUUCAAACCUGUAUUGCUUAAGAGCUAAAGCCUCUAUUUCAUUACUCCUUUGUAACACAGAACCAGACCUGGGCCAUCAACUGUGUACCUCUUCACAGCAGCAGUGGAAAUAAUUUCAGAUACCCUUAACUCCAGCUAGCCUGCAGGGAGAAGCAGAUGGUUCUCAAGGUUACCAGAAUGCUAUCAGACCCACUUGUGCAUGUGGUAGGCAAUCCAGCACGAGGAUGCAGCUCAGCUUUGAGAUGGUUAAAUGGAUGAGAAAUAAUAGCAAGGCUUGAGGGAUCCAAUUUAACUGCAGGUAUAACGAAGCCAACUGUAAAAAAGACUUUAUUUUUUCCCCUUUAUACUCAGAAUGCAGAAAAGAACUUGAGGGACUCUUCCCGUAUCUCAGAGGUUUCACAGACUGAUUAUUUUUAUGUUAAGACAGAAGUAUAUAAAAGGACUUGAAAUACCAGCAUGGUUUGCCAGAGGAACAUAAUUAUUCCCAAAGCCAAAACUAGAAUAAGAUGUUUUCCCUGUUUGAGUUGUGUGAGCCAGUUGCUGCAUCUUCAGAGGGCACCCAACAUCCACUUUGUAUUCUUGUACACUUAGAAUCAUGAGCAUGAGAUAUUGUUAAAGAUACCCUUUUAAGUAAAGGCUUAAAAAAAAAAGGGCUACAGCUCUUUAAGAAUUGCAGCUUUUAAAGAAACCACAGAGCAAUCAGCUUUUGAAAGCUCUUCUGUCAUACACAGAGAAUGCCAUGAAUCACUCGUACAUUAGCAGAUGUCAUGUGCAAAUCUCAGCUGCAACACAAGGAGGACAGACCUCAAGCACUUUGGCAUCAAAAAGAAGUCUGCGUUUUAAGCCUGCUGCUGACAGCCAUAACACUGGUAAUUACAAGUCACAGCUUAUAGUGGUGGGAGUGUU